rnacentral:misc_RNA from 1 species
UGACUUGUCAUAUUUCCACAAAGAAUUACUCCGAAGGGAAGAAAGCUAAUCGAUAGAGGGUAUUUUCUACAUAACACCUAAGCAUACCAAUUUAAAAAACUAAAGGGAAGAAGCCACUGUCCAUAAGGUUUUAGAAAUGGAACACCUAAGUGAUGAGUUAAACUUUCAUUUCAAAUCCACCACAUGACCGGUCCAACUCCUUGAGUGCCUA